rnacentral:rRNA from 1 species
GACGAACGCUGGCGGCGUGCUUAACACAUGCAAGUCGAGCGGUAAGGCCCUUUCGGGGGUACACGAGCGGCGAACGGGUGAGUAACACGUGGGUGACCUGCCCUCAGCUCUGGGAUAAGCCUGGGACACCGGGUCUAAUACUGGAUAUGACUCCAUGACGCAUGUUGUGGGGUGGAAAGCCUUGUGCGGCUGAGGAUGGGCCCGCGGCCUAUCAGCUUGUUGGUGGGGUGAUGGCCUACCAAGGCGACGACGGGUAGCCGGCCUGAGAGGGCGACCGGCCACACUGGGACUGAGACACGGCCCAGACUCCUACGGGAGGCAGCAGUGGGGAAUCUUGCGCAAUGGGCGAAAGCCUGACGCAGCGACGCCGCGUGAGGGAUGACGGCCUCGG